GGGGAAAAGAUCCAGUAGCCUUGGACUUUUUCAGACGUUACCAAGACCGCUGAACCAUACUACCUUCUCAGGGAAAUGAUUGAAGAGUAUGACAACACAUCCUUUCUGAACCCAAGGAGCUUAGGAUCUGAUGCCGAGGAGAAAAACAACAACACAAAGAAACCUGCAAUGGAACCCAGGCACAGAAGCUACCCGGCACCGCUCACGGUCUCCCGCGCUCUGAUACCACCGCAAGCCCCCUCCUGACACGCCACGCGGCGACCCCGCCGGCGGGAAAAGCGGGCAGCAGCUGAGGUGAG